UGUCAAUCGAGGUUGAGUUUAGUGAGGGUUGAAAGUUUUCGAUCUAGAUUGCAGAUCACUAUUGUCACUUUAUACAAACUGAAAGUAUGCGUUGUUGCGUGUUUGUUUUUGUGGGCAUUUGACUGAACAGCCCAGACAAAUAUUGCUACCAACAUGGCACUUCAAAACAGACCACCGCAGUGUUAGAUGACUGACAAGAUCUAUGGGGGGGCCCCCUUUGGGCCCCCCCAUACCAACUUAGUCUUCAAAGGAAUCUAGUGCCAUGGGACUCCAUAAUCUGCUGCGUGGGCCGUAGUGGCUUCCAGAGCCAUCUUUCGGUCUUGGUCAGGAUUUGUUACAGUUGCCC